rnacentral:tRNA from 2 species
GGCCCCUUGGUCAAGCGGUUAAGACACCGCCCUUUCACGGCGGUAACACGGGUUCGAAUCCCGUAGGGUCACCA